rnacentral:rRNA from 1 species
CAUGCAGGCGGUCGGACGCGUUUCCAGUGACAGCGGGUGGCUUACCUACCCGAGGAUUGGAAAGACGGUUUGACUUGAGGACUCGAGAGGGACAUGGAAUUCCGGGUGGAGUGGUGAAAUGCGUAGAGAUCCGGAGGAACAUCGAAGGCGAAGGCAGUGUCCUGGCGAGUGACUGACGCUGAGGUGCGAAAGCUAGGGGAGCGAACGGGAUUAGAUACCCCGGUAGUCCUAGCCGUAAACGAUGACCACCAGGUGUGGGAGGUAUCGACCCCUUCCGUGCCGGAGUUAACACACUAAGUGGUCCGCCUGGGGAGUACGGUCGCAAGAUUAAA